rnacentral:rRNA from 1 species
AUGGAAGUCAAUAUUCUCGCAUUUAUUGCUACUGCACUGUUUACUCUAGUUCCUACUUCUUUUUUACUUAUUAUUUAUGUAAAAACAGUCAGCCAAAAUAAUUAA